UACGGAGGGGGGCUAGCGUUGUUCGGAAUUACUGGGCGUAAAGCGCACGUAGGCGGCUUUGUAAGUUAGAGGUGAAAGCCCGGGGCUCAACUCCGGAAUUGCCUUUAAGACUGCAUCGCUAGAAUUUGUGGAGAGGUAAGUGGAAUUCCGAGUGUAGAGGUGAAAUUCGUAGAUAUUCGGAAGAACACCAGUGGCGAAGGCGACUUACUGGACACAUAUUGACGCUGAGGUGCG
rnacentral:rRNA from 1 species